rnacentral:lncRNA from 1 species
CUCCUCCAACCCCAUCCCAAUUAACUGCCUCCUAAUGACUUUCUGAAGCUGGAGGAUUUCCUUAAUUAUACCACCACGUGUUAGACUGUAAUCAAGAAAUCAAUCCUCACCACCGCCCGGAGCGGGGCCUGUGCUCGGCAGCACAGCAGCUGCAGCCACCUCCACAUAGACCCCGGGUUUGCAGGGAUGCAGCAGCACACGGACAGGGGCUCACAGAAAGGGUUUUCCUCUCCAGGAUUCUUCAGCCUCUACGUGUAACAUCAUUGUUUCUGAGUGCUCGGCCCCCAAGGCCUGGCCCUGCUGAGAGCUCCUUCCCACCGAGCAGAGCACACCUCCCACCCAGCACAGCGCCGUCCAGGCAGGAAAAUGCACACAGAGCAAAUCCUCACCACGAGAACAACACAUUUCACCUGUAGGUUUUGUGGGGUUUUUUUUUUCCUGUCUGUCUUUAAAUGAUGUGUGCCGGCAUCAGAGGAUCAGGGAGCGCGCAGCAGUGGUUCAGUGCUGGAAGCAGCUCCUUGCUCAGCAAUGCAGCCUGGCUGUGCACGCUGUUGGUCCGCUUUGGGAUCAAACAGAGACCCAACGAGAUAAAAACAGAGAGUGGGGAGCGGGGGGGGGCACAGGGACAGAAGGGAAAACAAAGAAACGAACUCUGCUGCCCGAGAGGUAAACUUGCACUCGUUUGUUAUGUAGCAGCCUGGUUUAAAAACAAAGGAAAACAAAAAGAAAAGAAAAGAAAACUGGGAUCUGUGUCCAAAGACUUCCUUCAGAUUAAAAACAGCUCCUUACAAACCUCCUUACAGAGUGGUGAUGCUGAGCUCACAGCCGAUCUGUGCUCCAGCAUCCGCAGCCAUAUGCAUCCCUGCCCAGCACUGCAUGGGAACCACAUCCCCCCCCACGGCCCCCAAAUCCCCCCCAGCCCCCCACAUCCCCAGCAUGGGCUGCCCAGCAGGACAGCACCCACGUGUGUGCUUGUCUCCCCCUCAGUGUAUUUCCCAACCAAUGCAGAAGGAAAGGGGAUCAUUUAUAAACAACGAGGAAAGUGCUUGCAGGGAGGGGCUCUGAGAAAACGGCACCAAAU